rnacentral:rRNA from 1 species
ACGAAGGGGGCUAGCGUUGUUCGGAAUUACUGGGCGUAAAGGGCGUGUAGGCGGUCUAUUAAGUCAGGUGUGAAAGGCCUGGGCUCAACCCAGGAAAUGCGCCUGAGACUGGUAGACUUGAGUCCGGGAGAGGAUGGUGGAACUCCCAGUGUGGAGGUGGAAUUCGUAGAUAUUGGGAAGAACACCCGUGGCGAAGGCGGCCAUCUGGACCGGUACUGACGCUAAGGCGCGACAGCGUGGGGAGCAAACAGGA